rnacentral:ncRNA from 1 species
GACACGGGGUGCCGCACGCGGCUGAGAACACACCCGUCGAACCUGAUCCAGUUCGUACUGGCGAAGGGAUGUCCG